rnacentral:rRNA from 1 species
AUUGAACGCUGGCGGCAGGCCUAACACAUGCAAGUCGAACGGUAACAGGAAGCAGCUUGCUGCUUUGCUGACGAGUGGCGGACGGGUGAGUAAUGUCUGGGAAACUGCCUGAUGGAGGGGGAUAACUACUGGAAACGGUAGCUAAUACCGCAUAACGUCGCAAGACCAAAGAGGGGGACCUUAGGGCCUCUUGCCAUCGGAUGUGCCCAGAUGGGAUUAGCUAGUAGGUGGGGUAACGGCUCACCUAGGCGACGAUCCCUAGCUGGUCUGAGAGGAUGACCGGCCACACUGGAACUGAGACACGGUCCAGACUCCUACGGGAGGCAGCAGUGGGGAAUAUUGCACAAUGGGCGCAAGCCUGAUGCAGCCAUGCCGCGUGUAUGAAGAAGGCCUUCGGGUUGUAAAGUACUUUCAGCGGGGAGGAAGGGAGUAAAGUUAAUACCUUUGCUCAUUGACGUUACCCGCAGAAGAAGCACCGGCUAACUCCGUG